CGGGAGGGCAGCAGGGAGAGGCUUCCAGGGUGGAAUUUGCUCCUGGCCGAGCGGGAUCCUGUGCUACAAAAUCCGCCCUGACCGCAGAGCCAGGAACCUCAUAGGGAGGGCUGGCAGAGGAGCGCCCUGCCCUUGGCCGCCUGUAGGAUGCCAUUUUUGCGGGGCCAGAGGGAGAGAGGCAGCAGCAGAUUUACUGGAGCUCAUUAUCUGUCUGAAGGUGAAGAGCUUUCCAGCACUUCCUGAUAGAAUUAAAGAUCCAUCGAGCUCCUUGGAUUGAUUUGAGCAGUUUGUGGCAUGCUCACUAAGAUGCAAUCAAGUGAUAUAUAGCUUCCUCUGCUCUCCGCGGGAGCCUCAUUAAGGUGAAACAGCAGCAGCAGCAGCACUGCCAGAUGGACUCUGCUCCGUGCCUCUGCCUCACAGAAUCGCAGAGUGGUAGGGGCUGGAAGUGAUCUCUGGAGAUCGUCGAAUUCAAGCCUUGUGCCAAGGCAGCUUCACCUAGAGAAGGUCACAGAGGAACAUGUCCAGACUGGAUGCCAAAUCUUCUCACCACAAUAUGGGUUCCCAAACAGAAGGCCUCCAGCUUCAGGAACUGGAAUUGGAGCUUGAGAAACACCAGGGAAGGAAGAAACCUCUUCAGCCUGGGUGAGAUGCCUCAGGAGUUCAUCAUUCUCUUCUUUCAGUUUCUGCAAAGGCACAA